AGAGUUUGAUCCUGGCUCAGGAUGAACGCUGGCGGCGUGCUUAACACAUGCAAGUCGAGCGAAGCGCUUACGACAGAACCUUCGGGGGAAGAUGUAAGGGACUGAGCGGCGGACGGGUGAGUAACGCGUGGGUAACCUGCCUCAUACAGGGGGAUAACAGUUGGAAACGGCUGCUAAUACCGCAUAAGCGCACGGUAUCGCAUGAUACAGUGUGAAAAACUCCGGUGGUAUGAGAUGGACCCGCGUCUGAUUAGCUAGUUGGAGGGGUAACGGCCCACCAAGGCGACGAUCAGUAGCCGGCCUGAGAGGGUGAACGGCCACAUUGGGACUGAGACACGGCCCAGACUCCUACGGGAGGCAGCAGUGGGGAAUAUUGCACAAUGGGGGAAACCCUGAUGCAGCGACGCCGCGUGAAGGAAGAAGUAUUUCGGUAUGUAAACUUCUAUCAGCAGGGAAGAAAAUGACGGUACCUGACUAAGAAGCCCCGGCUAACUACGUGCCAGCAGCCGCGGU
rnacentral:rRNA from 1 species